rnacentral:lncRNA from 1 species
AAGCACUCAAAAUGACUUCGGACUUUCCUUUCUUGCUAAGCUAGACUGAAGGCUGGUGGAAAUUUACAGCCAAUGGUUCUCAAAACGUGUUUUCUGGGCAGGGAGCAUAGGAAUCACCUGGGAGCUCUUUAAAAAUAUUCAAUCUCUGGAGCCCGACCUGAGACUGACUAAGAAUCAGGUGCGAUGACGUUGGGGCCCUGUGAUCUGCGUUUACCAAGCCCACCCCCAGAAAAUUCUUUUUUCUUUUUCUUUUUAAAGCUGCACCUGCAGCACAUGGAAGUUCCCAGGCUAGGGAUUGAAUCUGAGCUGCAACUGCUUGCUUAUUCCACAGCCACAGCAACACCACAGAUCCAAACAGCAUCUUCAACCUACGGUGCAGCUUGCAGCGAUGUUGGAACUUUAACUCACUGAGGUAGGCCAGGGAUGGAAGUCACAACCUCACAUAUACUAUGUUGGGGACCGGUCGAGCCGCAACGGGAACUCCUCCCCGCCCCCCACCCCAAUGAUUCUAAUGCUCCUUAAAGUGCAGGACCCAGUGUUUAAAUCAUCCUUUAUCCUAUUACCAGCUCUGGAAAUAAAUCAAAUUGGAGGCAGCUGAUGUCCACAGCUUGACUGACUCCUUGCUAUUUGCUCUUGGUUGUACCUGAGAUAAUCUCAGCUUUUGACCUAUUUGGUCUUCCCUUGGCUUUUGAAAACCAGCUUUUUGAAACCUAUCUUUGGGAGUUUACUUUUAGACUGGUUUUCUUUAUCACGGCUCCAGGAAAAGUGACUUUCAUAGCUAGAUUCUGACAGUGGAAGAGGAAAGGGGGUGGGCAGGGGUGUGGGCAAGCCGGUUGCAUUCUCAGCUGUUCUGGGCUUCACCUUUGCCUUAGGAGUUUGUCCACCUCCCCUCCCUGCUCCAGUCCACCUGUGAGAGGCAGGCUGUCUGUACCUUGAAAUUCACCACAGUGGGAGUAUUUACAUCAUGGAAAUUGCAAAUGUUCAAGGUAUUUUUUGUUUCUUUGUUUUAUAUAGAGUUGGUUUAUGAGCACAACUCUGAAUGCAUGAUUUAAAAUGACAUUGGCUGGAGUUCCCGUCGUGGCGCAGUGGAAACGAAUCCAACUAGGAACCAUGAAGUUGCAGGUUCAAUCCCUGGCCUUGAUCAGUGGGUUAAGAAUCCGGCGUUGCUGUGAGCUGUGGUGAAGGGUCGCAGAUGUGGCUCAGAUCCCGUGUUGCUGUGGCUGUGGUGUAGGCUGGCAGCUGUAGCUCCAAUUUGACCCUAGCCUGGGAACCUCCACAUGCGGGUGAGUGCAGCACUAAAAAGCAAAAAUAAAAUAAAAUGACAUUGGCAAGUGCCAAGUUUGUGUGAACUUGGGAAUGUCAUUCAACCUCUCAGCUAUCACUGUACAAAACUGAGGAGAUAAAAGUCCAGAUAAGAGAAUGGAAAUUAUCCGUAACUCCACCAAACAUAACCAUGAUUAAUGUUUUGUUGCAUUUCUUUCGUGCUGUGCGUUUUGUUUAAAUAUUUGAGAUUAUACAAGUGGGCGUCCUUUUUCUCGACUAUCAUCAUUAUACACAUUUUUCUGUGUUUUUAUUUAAAUUAUUGAAAACUUUUUUUGGGGUCUUUUUAGGGCCACACCCACAGCAUAUGGAAGUUCCUGGGCUAGGGGUCAAAUCCGAGCUGUAGCUGCUGGCCACAGCCACAGCCACAGCAAUGCCAGAUCCAAGCUGUGUCUGUGACCUACACCACAGCUCAUGGCAACGCUAGAUCCUUAACCCACUCAAACCUGUGUCCUCAUGGAUACCAGUCAGAUUAAUUUCCACUGAACCAUGACAGGAACUCCAAAAACACGUUUGUUUAAUGGCUGUAUAAUGUACCAUGCUUUGCAUUAAACACUUUACUUGAUCUGUACUAAUGUUGCAAGGUCUUUUCCCCUGUGUUUUUAUUGUUUUCUUAGAUUAUAUUCCCAGAAGAGGAAUUACUGGAUCAGUUUUUGAGGCUUAAAUACAUAGUUCUAAAUUGUUUUCCAAAAUGUUUGUAUUAGUACGUAUUCCCUCCAGUGAAGAAGAGUAACUCCUUUUAAUUACUGUGUUAACCAAACUAAGAGCUCUGUUUUAAUUUAGAAACUAGCAUUUUGGCAUGUUGUAUUUGGAUGUCUGUUUGUUGCCUGAUAGUUUUACAAGAAGAUGACCAAAUUUGGAAUGUUAUUUUUUUUAAAAGGCAUGAUAUACAUGCUGUAGUAUACUCUUCUUUUUUCUCCCUUUUAUUUCCUUAAAUUGAAGAGACUGUAAAUACUUUUCCAUGCCACUUAAUAGCCUCCUAAGCAUCUUUUAAAAUGUCUGCCCAGUAGUCCAUAUAUGGAUAUGCUAUUUUUAUUUAAGCCAUCCCUUAUGGUUGGACACUUCUGCAUUGUGUUUUCCAUUAAUGUCAAUAAUACAUUUUAUCCACUGAACUCCGGGUUUUAUAGCUGGCAGCCUUGUUUGGGAACAGUUCAGAGAGAAGCUGACUUAAUUUUCGAAGGUCCCAGCUGACCAGCUUCAAAAUGGAUUCUCGUGCCUGCCUUUUCCACUUUUUCUUCCCCCUCUGGUUGUUCCCUUGGCUUCCUUUCACAGAUCUGUAACAGAGGGAAGCUCAGGGUUCUCCAUCUUCCCCAGCUCAGUCUGUCUGGGGCUUCAUCUCUGGAGCCCACAGAGCCAAGGCUGAGAUAAUUCUCACUAUACCACGCUGCCUUCUCUCCUUGUUUGUUUGAAAUAAUGAGGGGACCAGUUAAAGAGUAAUAUAGUACUGGAGUUCCCAUCGUGGCUCAGUGAUUAAUGAAUAUGACUAGGAACCAUGAGGUUGCAGGUUCGAUCCCUGGCCUUGCUCAGUGGGUUAAGGAUUCGGCGUUGCUGUGAGCUGUGGUGUAGGUCGCAGAUGUGGCUCGGAUCCCGUGUUGCUGUGGCUCUGGUGUAGGCCAGCGGCUAUGGCUCCGAUUCGACCGGGGAACCUGGGAACCUCCAUAUGCCGCAGGAGCGGCCCAAGAAAUGGUAUAAAAGACCAAAAAAAAAAAAAAAAAAAAA